rnacentral:snRNA from 1 species
AGCUUUGUGCAGUGAUAGUAUCAAAGCCAGUGAGGUUUAUCCCAGGCAUGAUUAUUGCUAACUAAAACUUUUUCCUAUACCCUGCUGUGAUGACUUGAAAUAGUAUUGGCAAUUUUUGACAAUCUCUAAAAUGACUGAAUUUAAAAGGAGA